rnacentral:rRNA from 1 species
AACGAACGCUGGCGGCGUGCUUAACACAUGCAAGUCGAACGGAAACGCCCUGCUUUUUGGGGGUGCUCUAGUGACGAACGGGUGAGUAACACGUGAGUAACCUGCCCUUGACUUUGGGAUAACUUCAGGAAACUGGGGCUAAUACCGGAUAGGAUCUCCUGCUGCAUGGUGGGGGGUGGAAAGGUUAGGCGGUUGGGGAUGGACUCGCGGCUUAUCAGCUUGUUGGUGGGGUAGUGGGUUACCAAGGCUUUGACGGGUAGCCGGCCUGGGAGGGUGACCGGACACGUUGGGACUGGGAUAGGGCCCAGACUCGAAUGGGACGCAAGGGUGGGGAGUAUUGCACAAUGGGCGGGAGCCUGAUGAAGCAACGCCGCGUGCGGGAAGACGUCCUUGGGGUUGUGAAGCGAUUUCGCUUGUGACGAAGCGUGAGUGACGGUAAUGGGUAAAGAAGCACCGGCUAACUACGUG